CACACAUGCACACACACGCGCACACACACGCACACACGCACAUACACAAUUGGGAUAAGAUUUUGAGGAGGCUGGGACCCAAUCCUUUAUUUUCUCCUUCCUUUCAGACCGUUUUAAAUAUAAAUGCAGUCUCCAUUGCAAGUGUAAACCAGGUAAGUUCUAUAAGGGAAAAAGAGAAUGGGAAAAUAAAUGUAUGCUUUUUAAAAAAGUAACCAUGGUAGGAAUAAUACUAUGUGCCCACCAAACACAUUUCCUCUUCCAGAACAAACAGAAGAUGCAGUUCCAAGUUUCCCUCAUAAUUAGGCUGGGGUCAGGAAGAUGGGUGGCACCAAUGAGCACCUCUCCUAGGUCUGGCCCAUAAAAAACGCCCAGGCAGCCCUCCAAGGCCCCUUCUCCUUGCUCCUUGGCUGGCCGACUCAGAGGAUCCAAUAAAAGACUCCAAAGUCCCAAAGUGUCCUGGGCCCUGGCGAGUGAAACCAUGAAACAGGAGGGGCCUGGGUUCCCCAGUCCUUGCACUAAGGAGAGCCUCCCUCCCGGGAGAACACACACGCCGGGGUACACGUGAGAAAGCAGUAAGCUUUUAUUAUGCUACGUUUAUCAUCUUAAGCCCAGUGGCGCACCUGUGCUUAACAGCCCACUUUGUGGAUAAGGAAGGGCCUGAUUUGUACUGUUUGCUGGUUUCCAUGGUGAAAAUACUCUCACCGUGGCCAAUCUGAGGCUACCAACGGAACGCAGAGUUUAGAAGAAACGCCAAAGAUCUGCUCCUGGUACUCGGGGACAGCACACCACUGGUUAAGUCCCUCUCGGUUUAGGGUUUACUUGUCUACACAGCACAUCUUAGCCCACCUUGACUAGUACAGUAUCCAGCUGUGAUUGAACUACACUUAUUUCCUCCUCUGAAAGGACUAGCACUUUCACCGCCUCACCUUGAGGCUUUCUUGAGUUACUGUCCCCCGCCCAGAGGCAAAGGCGCUGCUGUUGAAACUGAAAACCCCCCAGGCUGGUCCAAAACAGUUUCCUUUGAUUCAUCAGGGCCUUAUUUUGCUUCUGAUGAAUUCAGAGCAUCUUCCUUGGGAGUUUAGCAAUGUGUGAAGCUCAGUGAGGACAUUUUCAUUAAUUUUAAUAGUAUUCGAAAUUCUGUAUCUCAGAAGACUGCAGCUUGUCAAGGACAUAAUGUUAGCUUUUUUUUUUUUGAAAGGACAGUGCUCAACUAUUCUUUUUCAUUUUUAUAUAGAACCUGCCCUGGGUACAUGGGUGUCACACGCUUGGGGAAAUUUUUAUAACUUUUCAAAUAAUCUGAAUCUUUUACCAUUGAACUAAAGUCAGCAGAACUCCCCCUCUCUGAUCUCGUGUCUGUUUAGAAUCGUAGGCGUGCUCUGAUUCUGAGUUCCACGUCCGUCUAUGUGCUCGACCCGUUACCAAGACGAGACUUCCUGAUUGUGGAGUCAAUUGUGUUCCGUUUGCUUGUUGUGCCCCUCAAAUGGGGAUGGUUUUGAAAAUUCAUUUCAGAUAUAUUCUUAAAUGAAAUAGAGCAAGCUACAAAUACACACACACACACACACAAACACACACAUAUAUAUAUAUCCGUGUGAUCUUUUGUGUGAGAACAUGAUCUUGUAAAAAAAAAGUUAGGCGCUGCCUACAUAUGCACACGAUGAAAAGACACAGAGCACCUGCUCACCCAGGAUCUGCCUGCCCUGGAGGAAGACACCCAGCCCCACUCCCAGGCCUGGAGUUUUCCAGGGGCCAGGUCGCCGGACAGUGAAACCACAGCCGGCACAGAGCGAGAGAGAAGCAACCAGAUCUACUCUCACUUACGAUCCCCGAGGAGGACGGAGAAGCCACGGAUAAUAACAAGCAGAUAAUCCUAUUGAGUCUAUGAAGCUAAUCUUGUAAAUCGGUGAUGUAUCCCUUUGUUUUUUU